AAAUUUGGAUUAAUACCUCAUAGUAUGUGAGGAUGGCAUCAUUUCACAUUAAAGUCACAACGGCAAAAGAUGAGCAUGCGUCCCAUUAGCUAGUUGGUAAGGUAACGGCUUACCAAGGCUACGAUGGGUAGGGGUCCUGAGAGGGAGAUCCCCCACACUGGUACUGAGACACGGACCAGACUCCUACGGGAGGCAGCAGUGAGGAAUAUUGGACAAUGGGCGCAAGCCUGAUCCAGCCAUGCCGCGUGCAGGAUGACGGUCCUAUGGAUUGUAAACUGCUUUUAUACAGGAAGAAACACUCCGACGUGUCGGAGCUUGACGGUACUGUAAGAAUAAGGAUCGGCUAACUCCGUG
rnacentral:rRNA from 1 species